UGGGGAAUUUUGCACAAUGGGGGAAACCCUGAUGCAGCGACGCCGCGUGAUUUAGAAGGCCUUCGGGUUGUAAAAAUCUUUUCUAUGGGAAGAAAAUGACAGUACCAUAGGAAUAAGGACCGGCUAAUUACGUGCCAGCAGCCGCGGUAAUACGUAAGGUCCGAGCGUUGUCCGGAAUCAUUGGGCGUAAAGGGUACGUAGGCGGGUAAGCAAGUUAGAAGUGAAAUCCUAUAGCUCAACUAUAGUAAGCUUUUAAAACUGCUCAUCUUGAGGUAUGGAAGGGAAAGUGGAAUUCCUAGUGUAGCGGUGAAAUGCGCAGAUAUUAGGAGGAAUACCGGUGGCGAAGGCGACUUUCUGGCCAUAAACUGACGCUGAGGUACGAAAGCGUGGGUAGCAAACAGG
rnacentral:rRNA from 1 species